GGCACCCAUGAAUUAUAUCCAUACCUUCAUUUUCUUCAGGUACCACUGGAAGGUGAUUACAAAAAGUUCGUGAAGGAACAACUCAAGUACCAUGACACCGAGGACCCGUGGAUUAACACUCUGCUGCGCACAUGUAUGCUGAAGCGUGGUCAUGAAGAAACAUUGUUUGGUGUUCCAAUUCUCAAACUUCCGGAUGUAAUGGGUAGAGACAUUGUGAUCAGUUUCAGUGCGACAGAAAGGGAGCUCUACCAGAAGGUUAUUGCGAUGUACUUGGAACAACAUCACGGUGAUCUUUCCUCUUAUUGAUUGUCAACAAAAUGAUAAGUACUUAUAAAAAGCAGUGUUUUCGAAUUCCCCCGGAAAACUCAAAAAGG
rnacentral:sRNA from 1 species